rnacentral:rRNA from 1 species
AGUGCUCGCAAGAGAGCCGGAACACAGGUGCUGCAUGGCUGUCGUCAGCUCGUGUCGUGAGAUGUUGGGUUAAGUCCCGCAACGGGCGCAACCCUUGUCAUUAGUUGCCAUCAUUUGGUUGGGCACUCUAAUGAGACUGCCGGUGACAAACCGGAGGAAGGUGGGGGAUGACGUCAAGUCCUCAUGGCCCUUAUGGGUAGGGCUUCACACGUCAUACAAUGGUCGGUACAAAGGGCUGCGAUACCGCGAGGUGGAGCGAAUCCCAGAAAGCCGGUCUCAGUUCGGAUUGGGGUCUGCAACUCGACCCCAUGAAGUCGGAGUCGCUAGUAAUCGCAGAUCAGCAACGCUGCGGUGAAUACGUUCCCGGGCCUU